rnacentral:rRNA from 1 species
CCUACGGGCGGCAGCAGUGGGGAAUAUUGGACAAUGGGGGCAACCCUGAUCCAGCCAUGCCGCGUGUGUGAAGAAGGCCCUCGGGUUGUAAAGCACUUUCAGUGAGGAAGAACGCCUGGUGGUUAAUACCCAUCAGGAAAGACAUCACUCACAGAAGAAGCACCGGCUAACUCCGUGCCAGCAGCCGCGGUAAUACGGAGGGUGCGAGCGUUAAUCGGAAUUACUGGGCGUAAAGCGCGCGUAGGUGGCUUGAUAAGCCGGUUGUGAAAGCCCCGGGCUCAACCUGGGAACGGCAUCCGGAACUGUCAAGCUAGAGAGCAGGAGAGGAAGGUAGAAUUCCCGGUGUAGCGGUGAAAUGCGUAGAGAUCGGGAGGAAUACCAGUGGCGAAGGCGGCCUUCUGGACUGACACUGACACUGAGGUGCGAAAGCGUGGGUAGCAAACAGGAUUAGAUACCCGUGUAGUC